GGAACUGUCCGUCAUGGAAAAAUAAUACAGGCCUUACCACCUUCUGGAUUAUAAUCGGCGUCGUGGCCAUCUUUCCGGCACAUUGUGUCCUCGUUGUUGUCCUUUCGUGUUGUGGGUACCUUCCGAGCCUCUGCAAACCAAUAAAGGAGAUGUCCGACACUGAGAA